CUACGGGAUGCAGCAGUGGGGAAUAUUGGACAAUGGGGGAAACCCUGAUCCAGCAAUGCCGCGUGUGUGAAGAAGGCCUGCGGGUUGUAAAGCACUUUCGGUUGGGAGGACUGCUUCUAGCACUAAUAUUGUUGGAAGUUGAAGUUACCUUCAGAAGAAGCACCGGCUAACUCCGUGCCAGCAGCCGCGGUAAUACGGGGGUGCAAGCGUUAAUCGGAAUUACUGGGCGUAAAGCGCGCGUAGGCGGCUAGAUCAGUCGGGUGUGAAAGCCCCGGGCUUAACCUGGGAACUGCAUCCGAUACUGUCUAGCUUGAGUACAGGAGAGGAGAGUGGAAUUCCACAUGUAGCGGUGAAAUGCGUAGAUAUGUGGAGGAACAUCAAUGGCGAAGGCAGCUCUCUGGCCUGAUACUGACGCUGAGGUGCGAAAGCGUGGGGAGCAAACAGGAUUAGACACCCCCGUAGUC
rnacentral:rRNA from 1 species